CUUUGUAGUCGGACCUCGCGAUAUGCACAGAGAAUUACAGAACACUUUAGAUUUAUUUAUGUGUUAGUGAAAGAGGGUUUUUCUUUUCUUAAACAGUAUUUCCAGAAAUAUAAAUCUGUAUAAUAGUGGACAUGGUGUGGCUGGUUUGUUGUUGUACUUCAUGGAGCGCAAACAGGAAGAAGAUAUAGACUGGGGAAAGCGGUUAUCCGGAGAGGAUCCGCACACAAUUGUAAACAAAAGUGUCAAAGACGUUUUAGUGAAGAAUGCACAUGACGGACUGGCUCUGCCAUUGACAGAGUAUGGGAGAUGUUCAGUUAUAUCGGGACAGUGUGUGUAUUAUCAUUAUGGCUGUGAUGGACAGGACGACAGAGGCUGGGGUUGUGGAUACCGGACUGUUCAGACCAUCGGCUCUUGGCUCAAUAAUGUCUCUCACGGUGCAAAAUCCAGACUUCCGCCAAGUCUCUCUGAAAUCCAGCAAGCUCUAGUUACAGUAAGAGACAAGCCGGCCUCGUUUUUAGGCUCUAAAGAGUGGAUAGGGACUUACGAGGCUGCUCUGGUCCUUGAGCAGCUCUAUGAUGUCCCCUGCCGGCUGGUGCACGCGCGCAGUGGGGGACCAGAGCUCGAGCAGGCGGCUCAGGACCUGCACCAACAUUUCCUCACCCGCGGAUCGCCAGUGAUGAUGGGUGGGGACAGGGACAACUCCUCCAAAGGCAUUCUGGGUGUGUGCACUGGGAAAGAAGGAAGCUACCUGCUGGUAAUGGAUCCGCACUAUUACGGUCCUGUCCCGGACAGGGAGUCGCUGCAGAGGAACGGCUGGGUGGCGUGGAGAAGAGUUCACUCUCUCGAUCACAGCUCCUUCUAUAACCUUUGUUUGCCACAAACAUAACCAUGAUGUCCAUUCCACUUGGCGGCACAGUGGUGUAAUGGUAAGCACGGUUGCCUCAAAGCAAGAAAGUUCCAGGUUCGAACCCAGCGGCCGGCGAGGGCCUUUCUGCGUGGAGUUUGCAUGUUCUCUCCGUGUCUGCAUGGGUUUCCUCCAGGUGCUCCGGUUUCCCCCACAGUCCAAAGACAUGCAGUUAGGUUGAUGUGGGGCGGCCUUGGGCUGAGGUGCCCACCUGACCCCUGACUACUCCUUGGGUGCUCUGGUGUGGUGUGUGUUCACUGCUUCACAUGGGUUAAAUGCAGAGGAUGAAUUUCACUGUACUUGAAGUGUGCAUGUGACAAAUAAAGGUUUCUUCUUCUUCUAUGGCACAGUUUCCCAACCCUGGUCCAGGGACAAUACUCAAAUGGACAGGGGGUAUUCCUAAACCAGGGUAUGGAAAGUUUGUGCUCAUGUUACCCAGCUUUUUGGGUUUCUAAAUCGUUUGGCAUAAAUAUUCAUUCAGUUUCAAUAAGCACGUCGUCCUGGUCAGGUGUCCUGGCAGCACAAUGGUAUAAGUGGUUAGCACGGUCGCCUCACAGCAAGAAGUUUCUGGGUUCGAGCCCAGUGGGGGCCUUUCUGUGUGAAGUCUGCAUGUUCUCCCCGUGUCUGCGUGGGUUUCCUCCGGGGGCUCUGGUUUCCCCCACAGUCCAAAGACACGCGGUUAGGUUAAUAUGAGACGGCCUUGGGCUGAGGUGCCCUUGAGCGAGGCACCUAACUCCCAACUGCUCCCCGGGUGCUGUUAGCAUGGCUGCCCACUGCUCUGGCCUGUCCCGGAAACACUGAGAGCAAGGUGGGAGAAUUCACCCUGGAUGGGAUGCCAGUCCAUUGUGUCACUCACUCACAACAUAUCCUGGACAAUCUACUGAGCAGCACGGUUUCAGACAGUGGGAGGAAGCCAGAGAAAACUCACAGGAACAUUCGGUGCUUUGGAUCGAACCAGGAACCCUUGAGCUGUGAGGCAGCAAUGCUACACACUGUACCUACCAUUAAUAUCAAUUCUAAAAGUUCUCUGAUGGUCCUUUAAACCAUGAUCAGGAUACUGAACAUGCAGAUUGUGAAUUAGAUCAUGGAUGAUGAAAGGAAUUCAGUUCACAAUCAUUUGUGUUGUAAAAUGGUGCACAAAAGCUACAGGUAAAUGUUUUAACAAAAUUGUGAAGUAAUUAUGGUGAUAUAACAGAAAUUCUUCUGAUCUUCACUGCUUUUUUCAGGACUUCAAUCACGUGUGAUGUUUGCUGGACUGCAAGAAGAAUUUCUUGUUGCGAUUUUAACAGAAACUCUCAUGCCCUCUUGUGGGCAGAAUAAUACACAGUCCAUCGUAAUUUUAACUCUAUGGAAAUGAAAUAUUUAUACUUUUAUUAAGAAGAACAAAAAACAAUCAUGUGAGCAGUAACCCCUAAAACAUGAUUCUUGACAAAAUUUAUCGGGAUCUGCACUCAGAUGACACUUUGAGCACAGCACAUGCACACAAUAUACUGUUUUAAACAGAGUGCUUAAAACAGUGCUCUUGUAAUAGGAGUAAUUCUGUCAAUGAGAUGACUACAGGGUAAAAAAUAAAGGUGUUUCUGUAGCCUA